CAUAUCAAGUACUACAAAUUUCAUUCAUAUUAUGAGACAUCUAUCCAUAUUCUACAAUCCUAUUAUGACAUCUAUGUAAAGAACGCAAUGUGCUUUUAGAAAAUCUGAAUACGAGGGUAAUUGAAAGACUUGUAACAAGACGCUUUGUUGUUGACUUGCUGGAGCUGAGUUUCCAAAUGUUAAAAAAACGCUUCAUUAAAAUUCGUUUUCAAAAUUAAGUAGUCGGGAGAUAUUUUGCAAUAUUCCUGCUUGUGUCAUACACUAAUAUUUGAAAUUCUGUCGACAACUUACUCAAUGAAAUGAAUGUCUUUAAACUUCAUUUAACUUUUCAGUAAUCCUGGUACCCUGUUUAAGCAGUAUAAGUUGCACAAAAGAGAGCAGUGGAUCUUGUUUCUUUUCACUACAGCAACAACAACAAAAUACACUCAUUUUUCAUUAAUACAUGAUCUCAUAAAAUUUUAUAUUAUUUUCUUGUGUAGGAACCUGUUUUGUACCAGUUUGUUGAAUUCUUUCGAAAAAAACAAAUUCAAUCAGUUUAACAUGAGUUUUCAAGCUUCUCUUUAAGAUUAUGAGAAAUACAUUUUAGUCCAAUUUCCAACCAAAACAUGGAAACUUAUCAUCACAAAAAAACACUUAUCGCUGCUCUCAAAUGUUGAAAUGAAGCAUGAAAACACAACCGAAAUAUAGAAAAUUAAGAAUGCAUGAAUAUUGAGUAAAUAUCAAAAUUUUGAUCAUGUAUAAAACAUUCACCUCUCUGGAUUGUUAGCCAACUGAUGAAUCCUGAGAUUAGGGUUUGGACUUGGGCCCAUUCCCAGCACCCCAAUUGCAUGCUCUCCUCGGAUUUGUGAGGCGAUCUCGUAAGCUGUCCACCGAAAUCAGGGUUGCAGAUUGACGCUCUGCGUCACAAUGGGUCCUGUGAAGUCUGCAUCACCGAGUCUCACAUGCAUUGAUGCCGGUGAAUUGAUCGUUUUCGUGCAAAUUGUAACGUGGUUCGCAGCUUAAGGUGACCUUCACCUUCUUCGAGGUAUGGUCUUCAUCUUCCGCUAUUCCGAGGUUGAUAUCAAAGCCAUUCUCCGCGAGAUCAUCGAAUGGGGCGAUCGAUGUGGCACACACACCUCAUGCUCUCUAUCACCCACAGCACAGAUUAGUUCGAUCAGAGUCAAGCUUUGGAGUUAGCACCACUGCUAACCUAGAGCAGCAAAUCCAAAACCUGACCUGCGUCAUUAAGUGUCACUGUCCGACAGGUUCGUAGGACAGGCGUUAAUAAAGGAGAAAAUGAAGAUGAUUCGACUAAAGAUUUUGAUGCCCGUGCUUGUCAUUCCUAGGGUGUCGCAUCAUCUCCAAUAAUGAGAACCAGUCUCGUCGCCUGUCCAAGUCACCGAAAUACGGGGCAAUAUCUUCCUCGUCUCCAGAAGGUGGGGAAUGGUGAACACAGUGCAAUGGUGGUGUGAUGAAGCUGGGAUAAUUGGUGGCCAGCCGGUCGCAUUCAAAGUGGUAGAGGAGCACGGAAUUGGUAUGUUAUGUUGAUGGAUUUUGACCGGACAUCGGAGGUUGUGUGUCAGUUUCGGAGUUCCGUGGUCGGUUGAGUCUGGAUCAGGAUUUCCUGAAACCUGCGUGAUGGGAUUCGCAUGGUGAACGAUGUGAUGGGGUUGAUAGCAUUUUGGUGGUUUGUUAAUCACAUCGAUUAUGGUAGUGCAUUUUCUAAGAGCCCAGAAACUUUCAGCUUGGUUUUUCUAAGAGCACGCAGCAAGUUUCGGAAUACGCCGAGUUCAUGGAUCAGUGAAGGCGACGAUGAUUUGCACGACUCAAGCCCUAUGCGCAAGUUGAGAGUGUUCACCGAAAUGUAUGCUUGACAAAUUCAUUCCAUUCCUGCGUUUUCAAGUACCGUGUCGUGGGCCAUCGCCGCUUUAACCCCUCUAGUGCAGCACAGAGGAUUGACUGUCUUCCUCUCUUAAAUCACAACCCGAACAUAAAGGACCUCCUCGUUGAAUAUUCAGCGUCAACAUUGAGAGCUGAGUAGGGUGCAGUUAUACUUGGAAAGAUGGAAGCAGUGUCAAAGUCAAGCACGUAGAUUUCAGAUCAUCUGUUCUGCGAAGAAAACUACGACUCAAGCCACAUGGGUUGUCCAUUCACCCUUCGAUUCAAGCUGAACCAGCAAGCAAGGAUCGGGAAGGAUCAGGAAGGAUAGUAGUCGAGGUUGCAGGUUUGAGUAGAAUACUGAGACAUGACUGACUGACUCCUUUCGCAUGCGUGCAAGGAUGCACUAACUGAUUUACUACCAUGUGGGUGGUGCUGGUGCUGAAAGCUGCGGCGUUGCGUUGCGUUGCGUUGGGUGAUGUGAGUCAUCGUGUGAGCGUCUCCAUUGCAAACGGAGAUCACGUUUCUUCGGUAUGCACGUCCCUGGUUUCAACUAUCCUCAUCUGGAUGGAUGAGGGAUGGAUAAUGAAUUAAGCAUGGAUGGAUGGAGGAGGGUGGAUGAAGGAUGAAUGAGUUCUUAGACGAAAACGAUGAAGUGAUGGAUGUAAUAACAAACGAUUAGCAAUUGUUUAAUAUUUUA